CCCUCUGUAUUUAACGCGUGCACGCGUUCUUCAUCAGAUCAGACAAACGGCACUACAAUCCUAACACGUUUACAACAGUAGACAUUUGAAGAAAGUUGAAUAACAUCUGGAAUCCAUCACCUGCAUUCUUCAACGUCUGUGUAAGUCAGGAAUCCAACCAUGAAGCUCAUCUACAUAGUAUUGCUUCUUGUCUGUUGUGUUCUCGCUGUGCAGGCCACUGAGAACAAGCUGGACCAGGAUUUGAAUGUGGCCAAACGGGGACCUGAACAGGAAGUAAAACUUGAAGCCAAGUCAAUGGUAGCCAAGAAGUCGGACGUUCAGUCAGAGAUCACUAAAAGGAAGAGUAUAAGACGUAAGGGUGGUAAAUCAAUACCGAAGAAGGGUUAAGAUAGAGGAGAGGGCAGGGGAAGGAGUUACAAUGGACCAUAGCAUUUAUUUUUGACAGCCUCGUACAUACCAAUCUCGUUUAUUUUUAUAAUUGUUCAAACAUGGUUCAAAUCCUGUUAAAAAAUAACUUGUUUGUUUUACAAAAAACAUUUCUAUCCUUUUUAAAUAUAAAAAAUGAACAUUUGAUUCCGUUUUUACAUUGUUCUAAAAGAAUAGACUGCUUGUCAUUAGUUAUAAAUAACCUAGUGAUUAGUUUAUUGUAGUGUUCGGUUAAAUCGCCAUGUAAGGUCAUAUUUAAUGCUACAGACAACAGGCAUCUGUUACAGUAACUAGUCAGGUCAGGUAGGUCAAUUUCAGAUCAUUUACCUAUAGGUUCAGCUCAACCUAAAGAACACCGCGCACCUUAAGUACUGUAUCCAGGAUACGACAACUGGUCAGUAGAGCUGUAGCACUGGUCACUUUAUCCUAAAGAUUAUGUCCAUAUUAAACCGACAUGCUAUGUGUUGUAAUUAGUUUAAAACGUGAUUGGAGCUUUAUUUCAAUAAAAUGUUGAGUUCUGUCA